rnacentral:rRNA from 1 species
CAGGCCUAACACAUGCAAGUCGAACGCCCCGCAAGGGGAGUGGCAGACGGGUGAGUAACACGUGGGAACGUACCCUUUGGUUCGGAACAACCCUGGGAAACUAGGGCUAAUACCGGAUACGCGCGAGAGCGGAAAGGUUUACCGCCGAAGGAUCGGCCCGCGUCUGAUUAGCUAGUUGGUGAGGUAACGGCUCACCAAGGCGACGAUCAGUAGCUGGUCUGAGAGGAUGAUCAGCCACAUUGGGACUGAGACACGGCCCAAACUCCUACGGGAGGCAGCAGUGGGGAAUAUUGGACAAUGGGCGCAAGCCUGAUCCAGCCAUGCCGCGUGAGUGAUGAAGGCCCUAGGGUUGUAAAGCUCUUUUACCUGGGAAGAUAAUGACGGUACCAGGAGAAUAAGCCCCGGCUAACUUCGUGCCAGCAGCCGCGGUAAU